rnacentral:rRNA from 1 species
GAUGAACGCUAGCGGCAGGCCUAAUACAUGCAAGUCGAACGGGAUCCAGAUCAAAGCUUGCUUUGGUUUGGUGAGAGUGGCGCACGGGUGCGUAACGCGUGAGCAACCUACCCUUGUCAGGGGGAUAGCCCGGCGAAAGUCGGAUUAAUACCGCAUGACAUCAUUGAGAGGCAUCUUUCGAUGAUCAAAGAUUUAUCGGACAAGGAUGGGCUCGCGUGACAUUAGCUAGUUGGUAAGGUAACGGCUUACCAAGGCUACGAUGUCUAGGGGCUCUGAGAGGAGAAUCCCCGACACUGGUACUGAGACACGGACCAGACUCCUACGGAAGGCAGCAGUAAGGAAUAUUGGUCAAUGGACGGAAGUCUGAACCAGCCAUGCCGCGUGCAGGAAGACGGCCCUAUGGGUUGUAAACUGCUUUUAUACGGGAACAAACGUCGGUACGUGUACCGGUCUGAGUGUACCGUAAGAAUAAGGAUCGGCUAACUCCGUG